ACAUAAGCUAUGAGGAAGACAAGCAAAGUAUCGCCAAUGUCUACAGAGAGCCGACGGUUGGUGCGAGUCGGUGAUAAGCAGUGCUGUGUAUCCCUUCUGAGCCGAAGUGCUGAAAAUCUCAGUAAGCGCUUCCGUGAUUCUGCGUUAAUGAAUAGGACUUGCUGGAGUCUGAAGUGGUGUUACGCAAUAGCGGCACAAUUUGAGUGGUACCGCGGGUAUUCAGUUAAUGAUACUCGUCUCAAAG
rnacentral:ncRNA from 1 species